GCAAUAAGGUUGAUGAGUUCCGGUGAAGUCUUGGUCUUUCCUAACCCUCGUGCUUGCUGGAUUGCUAUCGUUGAUCUAAUCCCCUUCGCCGAUCUGCUCGAGGAAGUCUACUCAAAGAAGUGUUCUCUUCCUACUCGUCCGAACAUAGCACUCGUGCUUGCUAGAUUGUCGUCGUUGAUCUAAUCCCGUUCAUCAAUCCGCUUCAGGAAGUUUACUCAAGAAAGUGUUCUCUUCCUGCUC